rnacentral:rRNA from 1 species
UAUAGCUUGACACUGAACAUUGAGCCUUGAUGUGUAGGAUAGGUGGGAGGCUUUGAAGUGUGGACGCCAGUCUGCAUGGAGCCGACCUUGAAAUACCACCCUUUAAUGUUUGAUGUUCUAACGUUGACCCCUAAUCGGGGUUGCGGACAGUGUCUGGUGGGUAGUUUGACUGGGGCGGUCUCCUCCUAAAGAGUAACGGAGGAGCACGAAGGUUGGCUAAUCCUGGUCGGACAUCAGGAGGUUAGUGCAAUGGCAUAAGCCAGCUUGACUGCGAGCGUGACGGCGCGAGCAGGUGCGAAAGCAGGUCAUAGUGAUCCGGUGGUUCUGAAUGGAAGGGCCAUCGCUCAACGGAUAAAAGGUACUCCGGGGAUAACAGGCUGAUACCGCCCAAGAGUUCAUAUCGACGGCGGUGUUUGGCACCUCGAUGUCGGCUCAUCACAUCCUGGGGCUGAAGUAGGUCCCAAGGGUAUGGCUGUUCGCCAUUUAAAGUGGUACGCGAGCUGGGUUUAGAACGUCGUGAGACAGUUCGGUCCCUAUCUGCCGUGGGCGCUGGAGAACUGAGGGGGGCUGCUCCUAGUACGAGAGGACCGGAGUGGACGCAUCACUGGUGUUCGGGUUGUCAUGCCAAUGGCACUGCCCGGUAGCUAAAUGCGGAAGAGAUAAGUGCUGAAAGCAUCUAAGCACGAAACUUGCC